rnacentral:lncRNA from 1 species
GAAUGGCCUGCAUGUUUUGGACGAUAGAACGGGAAGAGGGGGAGUCGUGCCCUCUAUACGGGCACGAGCAGGAAAAUAAAAAUGGAAGACCGAAUACAUAUACAUGACGGAACGACAUAUUAAAAAAUACGUGAUCUGAUUUGAUAGGCUGCCCGCAAAAAGAGUUUACCGACCGCAUAACAAUUCAUUCUUGUGUGUAGCGCGUAGGGCCAUGUCUCCCGAACGAUCAUAGUACGGCCGCUCAUCUAAUAUCAAAUCAAUCGGUAGAUCUCACUUCCCUUCCCCCAUACCAUAGCCGGAAGGGAUAGCGUAUCUACAGAAGAGAGAGUACGGGGCCUUGGCCUUACCCUUAAUUUAGUUUAGACGCGGCUCGAAUGCCUUUACGCUAUAGGCUAUGUUAAGCAUGCUUCUUUGACAGAAAACAAACUCUUUUUCCA